AGUUCUUAUGGUGUAGCUAGUUGCACGUUAGGUUUUCGUCCUGGAGGGAUGUUAAAUUUGCAUUAAGGACUU
rnacentral:tRNA from 1 species